rnacentral:rRNA from 1 species
GCCGCCGCGGUAAUACGUAGGACCUAAGCGUUAUCCGGAAUCACUGGGCGUAAAGCGAUCGAAGGCGGACCAGUAAGUCUGAUGUUAAAUACCCACGGCUCAACCGGGGUGCUGCGUUGGAAACUGCUGGCCUAGAGUAAGACAGAGGUAGCUGGAAUUCUUGUUGUAGGGGUUAAAUCCGUAGAUAACAAGAGGAACACCAAAAGCGAAGGCAUGCUACUGGGUCUUUACUGACGCUGCGCGAUCGAAAGCGUGGGGAGCGAAAGGGAUUAGAUACCCCUGUAGUCCACGCCGUAAACGAUGAAUGCUCGGCGUUCGAUUUUUAAUCGAUUGAGUGCCUAAGCUAACGCGUUAAGCAUUCCGCCUGAAGAGUACGACCGCAAGGUUAAAACUCAAAGGAAUAGACGGGGAUCCACACAAGCGGUGGAGCAUGUGGUUUAAUUCGACAAUAAGCGGGGAACCUUACCAGGACUUGACAUCUUCGGAAUUUGCUGGAAACAGCGAAGUGCCUUCGGGAACCGAAUGACAGGUGUUGCAUGGUUGUCGUCAGCUCGUGCCUUGAGGUGUUCGGUUAAGUCCGUUAACGAGCGCAACCCUCGCCGUAUGUUGUAUUGUUCAUACGGGACUGCCGGUUUUACACCGGAGGAAGGUGAGGAUGACGUCAAAUCAGCAUGGCCCUUAUGUCCUGGGCGACACACGUGCUACAAUGGUCGGUACAAAGGGCAGCAAAGCGGUAACGUGGAGCAAAUCCCAAAAAGCCGAUCUUAGUUCGGAUUGAGGGCUGCAACCCGCCCUCAUGAAGCUGGAAUCGCUAGUAACCGUAGAUCAGCCAUGCUACGGUGAAUAUGUUCCUGGAUCUUGUACUCACCGC